rnacentral:rRNA from 1 species
UACGGAUGGUGCAAGCGUUGUUCGGAUUGAUUGGGCGUAAAGCGCACGUAGGCGGGUUCAUAAGUCGGAUGUGAAAGCCCCGGGCUCAACCUGGGAACUGCAUUCGAAACUGUGAAUCUUGAAUACCUGAGGGGUUGGUAGAAUUCCAGGUGUAGGAGUGAAAUCCGUAGAUAUCUGGAGGAACAUCGGAGGCGAAGGCGACCAACUGGCAGUGUAUUGACGUUGAGGUGCGAAAGCGUGGGGAGCAAACAGG